rnacentral:rRNA from 1 species
GUAACGCGUAUGCAAUCUACCUUUCACAGAGGGAUAGCCCAGAGAAAUUUGGAUUAAUACCUCAUAGUAUAAUGAGUUGGCAUCAACACAUUAUUAAAGUCACAACGGUGAAAGAUGAGCAUGCGUCCCAUUAGCUAGAUGGUAAGGUAACGGCUUACCAUGGCAACGAUGGGUAGGGGUCCUGAGAGGGAGAUCCCCCACACUGGUACUGAGACACGGACCAGACUCCUACGGGAGGCAGCAGUGAGGAAUAUUGGACAAUGGGCGCAAGCCUGAUCCAGCCAUGCCGCGUGCAGGAUGACGGUCCUAUGGAUUGUAAACUGCUUUUGUACAGGAAGAAACACUGGUUCGUGAACCAGCUUGACGGUACUGUAAGAAUAAGGAUCGGCUAACUCCGUGCCAGCAGCCGCGGUAAUACGGAGGAUCCAAGCGUUAUCCGGAAUCAUUGGGUUUAAAGGGUCCGUAGGCGGUUUAGUAAGUCAGUGGUGAAAGCCCAUCGCUCAACGGUGGAACGGCCAUUGAUACUGCUAAACUUGAAUUAUUAGGAAGUAACUAGAAUAUGUAGUGUAGCGGUGAAAUGCUUAGAGAUUACAUGGAAUACCUAUUGCGAAGGCAGGUUACUACUAAUGGAUUGACGCUGAUGGACGAAAGCGUGGGUAGCGAACAGGAUUAGAUACCCUGGUAGUCCACGCCGUAAACGAUGGAUACUAGCUGUUGGAAGCAAUUUCAGUGGCUAAGCGAAAGUGAUAAGUAUCCCACCUGGGGAGUACGU